rnacentral:rRNA from 1 species
UCCUACGGGAGGCAGCAGUGGGGAAUAUUGCACAAUGGGCGCAAGCCUGAUGCAGCAACGCCGCGUGAGGGACGAAGGCCUUCGGGUUGUAAACCUCUUUUAGUGGGGAAGAAGCGACUGGGUUUUCCUGGGAGUGACGGUACCUGCAGAAAAAGCACCGGCUAACUACGUGCCAGCAGCCGCGGUAAUACGUAGGGUGCAAGCGUUGUCCGGAAUUAUUGGGCGUAAAGAGCUCGUAGGCGGUUUGUCGCGUCUGCUGUGAAAACCCGAGGCUCAACCUCGGGCCUGCAGUGGGUACGGGCAGACUAGAGUGCGGUAGGGGAGAUUGGAAUUCCUGGUGUAGCGGUGGAAUGCGCAGAUAUCAGGAGGAACACCAAUGGCGAAGGCAGAUCUCUGAGCCGUAACUGACGCUGAGGAGCGAAAGCAUGGGGAGCGAACAGGAUUAGAUACCCUGGUAGUCCAUGCCGUAAACGUUGGGAACUAGAUGUGGGGACCAUUCCACGGUCUCCGUGUCGCAGCUAACGCAUUAAGUUCCCCGCCUGGGGAGUACGGCCGCAAGGCUAAAACUCAAAGGAAUUGACGGGGGCCCGCACAAGCGGCGGAGCAUGCGGAUUAAUUCGAUGCAACGCGAAGAACCUUACCAAGGCUUGACAUAUACCGGAAACGGCUGGAAACAGUCGCCCCGCAAGGUCGGUAUACAGGUGGUGCAUGGUUGUCGUCAGCUCGUGUCGUGAGAUGUUGGGUUAAGUCCCGCAACGAGCGCAACCCUCGUCCUAUGUUGCCAGCACGUAAUGGUGGGAACUCAUGGGAUACUGCCGGGGUCAACUCGGAGGAAGGUGGGGAUGACGUCAAAUCAUCAUGCCCCUUAUGUCUUGGGCUUCACGCAUGCUACAAUGGCCGGUACAAAGGGCUGCGAUACCGCAAGGUGGAGCGAAUCCCAAAAAGCCGGUCUCAGUUCGGAUUGAGGUCUGCAACUCGACCUCAUGAAGUCGGAGUCGCUAGUAAUCGCAGAUCAGCAACGCUGCGGUGAAUACGUUCCCGGGCCUUGUACACACCGCC